rnacentral:rRNA from 1 species
ACUCCUACGGGAGGCAGCAGUAGGGAAUCUUCCACGAUGGGCGCAAGCCUGAUGGAGCAACACCGCGUGAGUGAAGAAGGGUUUCGGCUCGUAAAGCUCUGUUGUUAAAGAAGAACACGUAUGAGAGUAACUGUUCAUACGUUGACGGUAUUUAACCAGAAAGUCACGGCUAACUACGUGCCAGCAGCCGCGGUAAUACGUAGGUGGCAAGCGUUAUCCGGAUUUAUUGGGCGUAAAGAGAGUGCAGGCGGUUUUCUAAGUCUGAUGUGAAAGCCUUCGGCUUAACCGGAGAAGUGCAUCGGAAACUGGAUAACUUGAGUGCAGAAGAGGGUAGUGGAACUCCAUGUGUAGCGGUGGAAUGCGUAGAUAUAUGGAAGAACACCAGUGGCGAAGGCGGCUACCUGGUCUGCAACUGACGCUGAGACUCGAAAGCAUGGGUAGCGAACAGGAUUAGAUACCCUGGUAGCUCGAUG